rnacentral:rRNA from 1 species
GUGGGGAAUAUUGGUCAAUGGACGGAAGUCUGAACCAGCCAAGUAGCGUGCAGGAUGACGGCCCUAUGGGUUGUAAACUGCUUUUAUAUGGGGAUAAAGUGAGGGACGUGUCCCUUUUUGUAGGUACCAUAUGAAUAAGGACCGGCUAAUUCCGUGCCAGCAGCCGCGGUAAUACGGAAGGUCCGGGCGUUAUCCGGAUUUAUUGGGUUUAAAGGGAGCGCAGGCUGAUGAUUAAGCGUGACGUGAAAUGUAGCCGCUCAACGGCUGAACUGCGUCGCGAACUGGUUAUCUUGAGUGAGUUCGAUGUUGGCGGAAUUCGUGGUGUAGCGGUGAAAUGCUUAGAUAUCACGAAGAACUCCGAUUGCGAAGGCAGCCAACAAGGCCUUUACUGACGCUAAAGCUCGAAGGUGCGGGUAUCGAACAGG